ACUGCUCAGUAACACGUGGACAACGUGCCCUAUAGUGGGGGAUAAUCUCGGGAAACUGAGGAUAAUACCCCAUAGGCCAUGGGAUCUGGAAUGACCCAUGGCUCAAAGUUCCGGCGCUAUAGGAUCGGUCUGCGGCCUAUCAGGUAGUAGUGGGUGUAACGUACCCCCUAGCCAUUGACGGGUAUGGGCCUUGAGAGAGGGAGCCCAGAGUUGGAUUCUGAGACACGAAUCCAGGCCCUACGGGGCGCAGCAGUCACGAAAACUUCACAAUGGGCGAAAGCCCGAUGAGGGAAUUCCAAGUGCGUAUACAUUAGUAUACGCUUUUGUUCAGCGUAGAUAACUGGACGAAUAAGGGCUGGGUAAGACGGGUGCCAGCCGCCGCGGUAAUACCCGCAGCCCGAGUGGUGGUCGAUUUUAUUGAGUCUAAAACGUUCGUAGCCGGUUUAGUAAAUCUCUGGGUAAAUCGGAAGGCUCAACUCUCCGAAUUCCGGAGAGACUGCUAGACUUGGGAUCGGGAGAGGUAAGAGGUACUUCAGGGGUAGGGGUAAAAUCCUGUAAUCCUUGGAGGACCACCGGUGGCGAAGGCGUCUUACUAGAACGAAUCCGACGGUGAGGGACGAAGCCCUAGGUCGCAAACGGGAUUAGAUACCCCGGUAGUCUAGGGUGUAAACGCUGCAGACUUGGUGUUGGGGACCCUUCGUGAGUAUUCAGUGCCGGAGAGAAGUUGUUAAGUCUGCUACUUGGGGAGUACGUCCGCAAGGAUGAAACUUAAAGGAAUUGGCGGGGGAGCAC
rnacentral:rRNA from 1 species